rnacentral:rRNA from 1 species
UUCAUGGCUCAGGACGAACGCUGGCGGCGUGCCUAAUACAUGCAAGUCGAGCGGACAGAUGGGAGCUUGCUCCCUGAUGUUAGCGGCGGACGGGUGAGUAACACGUGGGUAACCUGCCUGUAAGACUGGGAUAACUCCGGGAAACCGGGGCUAAUACCGGAUGCUUGUUUGAACCGCAUGGUUCAGACAUAAAAGGUGGCUUCGGCUACCACUUACAGAUGGACCCGCGGCGCAUUAGCUAGUUGGUGAGGUAACGGCUCACCAAGGCGACGAUGCGUAGCCGACCUGAGAGGGUGAUCGGCCACACUGGGACUGAGACACGGCCCAGACUCCUACGGGAGGCAGCAGUAGGGAAUCUUCCGCAAUGGACGAAAGUCUGACGGAGCAACGCCGCGUGAGUGAUGAAGGUUUUCGGAUCGUAAAGCUCUGUUGUUAGGGAAGAACAAGUGCCGUUCAAAUAGGGCGGCACCUUGACGGUACCUAACCAGAAAGCCACGGCUAACUACGUGCCAGCAGCCGCGGUAAUACGUAGGUGGCAAGCGUUGUCCGGAAUUAUUGGGCGUAAAGGGCUCGCAGGCGGUUUCUUAAGUCUGAUGUGAAAGCCCCCGGCUCAACCGGGGAGGGUCAUUGGAAACUGGGGAACUUGAGUGCAGAAGAGGAGAGUGGAAUUCCACGUGUAGCGGUGAAAUGCGUAGAGAUGUGGAGGAACACCAGUGGCGAAGGCGACUCUCUGGUCUGUAACUGACGCUGAGGAGCGAAAGCGUGGGGAGCGAACAGGAUUAGAUACCCUGGUAGUCCACGCCGUAAACGAUGAGUGCUAAGUGUUAGGGGGUUUCCGCCCCUUAGUGCUGCAGCUAACGCAUUAAGCACUCCGCCUGGGGAGUACGGUCGCAAGACUGAAACUCAAAGGAAUUGACGGGGGCCCGCACAAGCGGUGGAGCAUGUGGUUUAAUUCGAAGCAACGCGAAGAACCUUACCAGGUCUUGACAUCCUCUGACAAUCCUAGAGAUAGGACGUCCCCUUCGGGGGCAGAGUGACAGGUGGUGCAUGGUUGUCGUCAGCUCGUGUCGUGAGAUGUUGGGUUAAGUCCCGCAACGAGCGCAACCCUUGAUCUUAGUUGCCAGCAUUCAGUUGGGCACUCUAAGGUGACUGCCGGUGACAAACCGGAGGAAGGUGGGGAUGACGUCAAAUCAUCAUGCCCCUUAUGACCUGGGCUACACACGUGCUACAAUGGGCAGAACAAAGGGCAGCGAAACCGCGAGGUUAAGCCAAUCCCACAAAUCUGUUCUCAGUUCGGAUCGCAGUCUGCAACUCGACUGCGUGAAGCUGGAAUCGCUAGUAAUCGCGG